rnacentral:lncRNA from 1 species
AUGCAUAUGGGAAGACGUUCCCUCAAACUAAUGGAAUCGGGCGCAACUUGCGUUCAAAGACUCGAUGGUUCACGGAAUUUUGUAAUGCACACCAAGUAUCGCAUUUCGCUACGUUCUUCAUCGAUGCAAGAGCCUAGAUAUCCGUUGACGAGAGUCAUUCUAUAUCAUGUGUCAAAACACAACCCGCACGAAAACUGUCUCUGGUGCCAUGCAGGAAUCGACAAUGAUCCUUCCGCAGGUUCACCUACGGAAACCUUGUUACGACUUCUCCUUCUUCUAAAUGAUAAGGUUCAAUGGACUUCUCACAACAUCGCGGGCAACGGACCGCCCACGUCACCGCAAUCCAAACACUUCACCGGACCAUCAUCAUGA